rnacentral:lncRNA from 1 species
AAAUCCAUGGGAUGUGAUGAAAAACUCUCUAACCUCUCCCAAAGUUGGUUUUACAAGAACUUAUUGUCAAUUCAUCAUGCAUAAUAUGCAACAGCAUUUUGGAAAAAUGGUUUUGGUUGAACAUGAUUUUAAACUUCAUCUUGCCUUUACAUUGCUAUAUAUAUAUAUAUCAGUUUGGAUAUGUCUUUUGUUGCUUGCAGCAUUGCUAUGUUUCAUUCUAGGGUUUACAUAGAUCAUAUUGAGAAAAACAAAUUCUUUCCCGAUCCCCCUUAUUCUAGUGAAAUGGAAAUUUUGGAAAAGAGGGCCUCAGUCAAGAUCUGAUGUACAGUUUUGUAGGGUUGGAUCCAGUUUCUGUUUUCAAAAUUUUCUCUGAAUAUAUACAGUAAUUAUCUGCUAAGGGGGUUCCAUUAUCUACAUCACUAUGCUGUAUGACAUUAGCUAUUUUGUUGGUGUUCAUAUACUAUAUAUACUUCAUUAAUUCUCCACAGUUCAUACACCAAUGUAUCAUCAGCUUUAAUGUGUUACUUCAUUAUGUUGUGAACUUGUGAAAGUUAAACCAGAGUUUUAACCAAAACUAUUCAGGCAUGUAGUAUAUUAUAAUCUAGUUAUGAUUUUAUCUCAGCUCUUAUCUCUAUUAUCAUUUACCAAGCAAGUAAUUAGAAAGAGGCUAGCUGAUUCAGAUUCUGACUACAGUCUUGCCUUUGAGUACUGACUCUUGACUAGUAAUGGUAUGAUGGAUUUGUUUGAAAUGUUGCAGAAUUGUUGGAUUAAUUGCUGUACAUCUGCAAGAUUUGUGUAAGAUGCAGUAUCUCUACUAUCUAGUGAUCAUCAUCAUUAAUGUGAUCAACCAUAUAUCUACUUGCGAUGGAGGACUAAAUUUAUUGUCUUGCCAGAAUGCCAGGUUAAUUGCCAUUGUCGCUUUGCCGCAUUGCACAUGAAAUCUACCCUGAUUUAGUUUAUAUAAUUAGUGAAGAUCAUGAACAACAUGCUAACUGGAUUAGUAUUUCUUGGACAAAGUAGGGAUAGGUAGCUAGCUAUAUGAUCUCUUCAAUAAACUAUAGUCAAGCCUCUUUUUUUUUUUUUUUUUUUUUUUUGUCUAAGACAUACACAAAAAAGAAUUAUUCAUAGGCUCAUAGCCAUUAGCUCCUCGAUCUAUGUGUGUAUGAUCAGUUGACAAAGUUACCUUAAUGAGUAGAAGUAGUGAAUCCCAUUUUGCUUUAUUUUGUGUUGAAGUUCGUUGCAGGUUUUGAAACCCUCAACUCAACUAUGAACAAUCAUAUAGAGGGAGCAAAACAAAGUUGUGGACCAUCUAUAAUGUAAUUGAUCUGUAAUAUUCUAUAAAAGCUAAAAGCUUCAUUGGGACCAUCUUUAUUAGUGUUGGCCUUUUUAGAGCUAUUUUGUUUGCCAUCUUAAUUUGUCUUUUGGGCUUUCAUAUCUCUAUAUAUUUCUUCCAAAACAUCUCGCUUACAAGCAGUUACAUCAAAGGUGAUACUUGCCACUUGGGGAAAUAUUGAAGACAUU